AUGGCACUGAGGCUGACCCCGCUCACCUGCUCGGGCCACACGCGGCCCGUGGUGGAUCUGGCCUUCAGUGGCAUCACGCCUUACGGCUAUUUCUUAAUCAGCGCUUGCAAAGAUGGAAAACCUAUGCUGCGCCAGGGAGAUACUGGAGACUGGAUUGGAACAUUUUUGGGUCAUAAGGGUGCUGUUUGGGGUGCAACAUUGAAUAAGGAUGCCACCAAAGCAGCCACUGCAGCUGCAGAUUUCACAGCCAAAGUGUGGGAUGCUGUCUCAGGAGAUGAAAUGAUGACCCUGGCUCAUAAACAUAUUGUCAAGACUGUGGAUUUCACUCAGGAUAGUAAUUAUUUGUUAACUGGGGGACAAGAUAAACUGUUACGCAUCUAUGAAUUGAACAAACCUGAAGCAGAACCUAGGGAAAUCAGUGGUCACACUUCUGGUAUAAAAAAGGCUCUGUGGUGCAGUGAGGAUAAACAGAUUCUUUCAGCUGAUGAUAAAACUGUCCGCCUUUGGGAUCAGGCUACUAUGACAGAAGUGAAAUCUCGAACUUUUAAUAUGUCUGUUAGCAGUAUGGAAUAUAUUCCUGAGGGAGAGGUCUUGGUAAUAACCUAUGGACGAUCUAUUGCAUUUCAUAGUGCAGUAAGUUUGGAGCCAAUUAAGUCUUUUGAAGCUCCUGCAACCAUCAAUUCUGCAUCUCUUCAUCCUGAAAAAGAAUUUCUUGUUGCAGGUGGUGAAGAUUUUAAACUUUAUAAGUAUGAUUAUAAUAGUGGAGAAGAACUAGAAUCCUACAAAGGGCAUUUUGGUCCUAUUCACUGUGUGAGAUUUAGUCCUGAUAGAGAACUCUAUGCCAGUGGUUCUGAAGAUGGAACAUUGAGACUAUGGCAAACUGUUGUAGGAAAAACAUAUGGCCUUUGGAAAUGUGUGCUUCCUGAAGAAGAUAGUGGUGAGCUGGCAAAACCCAAGAUCAGUUUUCAGAAACAACAGAAGAAGAACUAGAGGAAAUUGCUUCAAAGAAUUCAGAUUCCAUCUAUAGUUCUACUCCUGAAGUCAAAGCCUGAGCAUCAGGCAUAUGCCACAGAGAAUAUACAACCUAUGGACUAAACAAGCAGAGAGAAAGCAUCAGCCUACCGGGGUUACUCUCUGCUUAAGGCAAGUGUGCGCAGUAAAUAAAGGGGAAUAUGCAU